rnacentral:rRNA from 1 species
GCAAGUCGAGCGGUAACACAAGGGAGCUUGCUCCUGAGGUGACGAGCGGCGGACGGGUGAGUAAUGCCUAGGUAUCUGCCCAGUCGAGGGGGAUAACAGUUGGAAACGACUGCUAAUACCGCAUACGCCCUACGGGGGAAAAGAGGGGACCUUCGGGCCUUCUGCGAUUGGAUGUACCUAGGUGGGAUUAGCUAGUUGGUGAGGUAAUGGCUCACCAAGACUACGAUCAGUAGCCGACCUGAGAGGGUGAUC